CCGAGCACUCUUUGCCACCUGUCCUCGUCCGCAGAGAAGUCCUGGCUCUGGAACACCGUGGAAAUACCUCCCCGAUGGACUCACCGAGAGCCGGGAGGGCUCCUGGAGCAGCGGAGAGGGGGAAAGCAGAGGGAGAUCGGGAGGGACACGCAGGUUUGUAGUCAAGCUUGGACUCCAGCUUCUUGGAAUCAGCCACUUUCCUGACAGCUUUCAUGAAAUCUUCCUGAACUACGAAGUCAUGAUCAGCACGGAUAGCAAACAUCCCUGGGAGGGAGGAUUUAACAGUGUGAAGACAGAACAUGAAGUUUCACUCAAAAUUCUAAUGAAAACUGAUCCAGGUUACACUACCUACAUGACUUUCCCAUGUCUUGGAUGUUGGUGAGAGGAGGAAAUUCACCUUUCUGAACUAGGGGAUUACUAAAAACAAAACUUGUUUAAACUCUCA